rnacentral:rRNA from 1 species
AUUGAACGCUGGCGGCAGGCUUAACACAUGCAAGUCGAGCGGGGAAGGGUAGCUUGCUACCUAACCUAGCGGCGGACGGGUGAGUAAUGCUUAGGAAUCUGCCAUUUAGUGGGGGACAACAUUCCGAAAGGAAUGCUAAUACCGCAUACGUCCUACGGGAGAAAGCAGGGGAUCUUCGGACCUUGCGCUAAAUGAUGAGCCUAAGUCGGAUUAGCUAGUUGGUGGGGUAAAGGCCUACCAAGGCGACGAUCUGUAGCGGGUCUGAGAGGAUGAUCCGCCACACUGGGACUGAGACACGGCCCAGACUCCCACGGGAGGCAGCAGUGGGGAAUAUUGGACAAUGGGCGGAAGCCUGAUCCAGCCAUGCCGCGUGUGUGAAGAAGGCCUUAUGGUUGUAAAGCACUUUAAGCGAGGAGGAGGCUACUUAGAUUAAUACUCUAGGAUAGUGGACGUUACUCGCAGAAUAAGCACCGGCUAACUCUGUGCCAGCAGCCGCCGUAA